rnacentral:piRNA from 1 species
UAUUAGGGUUUCUAUCUCGGAUUGGUC